rnacentral:rRNA from 1 species
GGUGUGUGUUGUGCUUGGUGUGGAGGUGAGACGAGGGGGUCAGGCGUUAGUGGGAGUGGCGUGUCGUAAUGGUGGCGGCGGUGGUGGGUUAGGUCUGGUGGGAAAUCCCCGGGCUCAAUCUGGGAAUGGCAUUGGGUACUGGCUCGCUCGAGGGCGGUGGAGGGUGGUGGAAUUCCCGGUGUAGCAGUGAAAUGCGUAGAGAUCGGGAUGAACAUCUGUGGCGAAGGCGGCCACCUGGACCAGCACUGACACUGAGGCACGAAAGCGUGGGGAGCAAACAGGAUUAGAUACCCUAGUAGC